rnacentral:rRNA from 1 species
UACGUAGGGAGCAAGCGUUGUCCGGAAUCAUUGGGCGUAAAGCGCGCGUAGGUGGCUUCGUAAGUCCGUUGUGAAAGUCAAAAGGCUCAACCUUUGAAAGCCGAUGGAUACUGCGGAGCUAGAGUACGGAAGAGGCGAGUGGAAUUCCUGGUGUAGCGGUGGAAUGCGCAGAUAUCAGGAGGAACACCAGUGGCGAAGGCGGGUCUCUGGGCAGUAACUGACGCUGAGGAGCGAAAAGCGUGGGGAGCGAACAGG